rnacentral:rRNA from 1 species
AUUGAACGCUAGCGGGAUGCCUUACACAUGCAAGUCGAACGGCAGCGGGAAAGUAGCUUGCUACUUUUGCCGGCGAGUGGCGAACGGGUGAGUAAUGUAUCGGAACGUGCCCAGUAGCGGGGGAUAACUACGCGAAAGCGUGGCUAAUACCGCAUACGCCCUACGGGGGAAAGGGGGGGAUCUUAGGACCUCUCACUAUUGGAGCGGCCGAUAUCGGAUUAGCUAGUUGGUGGGGUAAAGGCCUACCAAGGCGACGAUCCGUAGCUGGUUUGAGAGGACGACCAGCCACACUGGGACUGAGACCGGCCCAGACUCCUACGGGAGGCAGCAGUGGGGAAUUUUGGACAAUGGGGGAAACCCUGAUCCAGCCAUCCCGCGUGUGCGAUGAAGGCCUUCGGGUUGUAAAGCACUUUUGUCAGGGAAGAAAAGGUUUCGGAUAAUACCCGGAACUGAUGACGGUACCUGAAGAAUAAGCACCGGCUAACUACGUGCCAGCAGCCGCGGUAAUACGUAGGGUGCAAGCGUUAAUCGGAAUUACUGGGCGUAAAGCGUGCGCAGGCGGUUCGGAAAGAAAGAUGUGAAAUCCCAGGGCUCAACCUUGGAACUGCAUUUUUAACUACCGAACUUAGAGUAUGUCAGAGGGGGGUGGAAUUCCACGUGUAGCAGUGAAAUGCGUAGAUAUGUGGAGGACACCGAUGGCGAAGGCAGCCCCCUGGGAUAAUACUGACGCUCAUGCACGAAAGCGUGGGGAGCAAACAGGAUUAGAUACCCUGGUAGUCCACGCCCUAAACGAUGUCAACUAGCUGUUGGGCCCUUCGGGGCUUAGUAGCGCAGCUAACGCGUGAAGUUGACCCGCCUGGGGAGUACGGUCGCAAGAUUAAAACUCAAAGGAAUUGACGGGGACCCGCACAAGCGGUGGAUGAUGUGGAUUAAUUCGAUGCAACGCGAAAAACCUUACCUACCCUUGACAUGUCUGGAAUCCUGAAGAGAUUUAGGAGUGCUCGCAAGAGAACCGGAACACAGGUGCUGCAUGGCUGUCGUCAGCUCGUGUCGUGAGAUGUUGGGUUAAGUCCCGCAACGAGCGCAACCCUUGUCAUUAGUUGCUACAUUUAGUUGAGCACUCUAAUGAGACUGCCGGUGACAAACCGGAGGAAGGUGGGGAUGACGUCAAGUCCUCAUGGCCCUUAUGGGUAGGGCUUCACACGUCAUACAAUGGUCGGGACAGAGGGUUGCCAAACCGCAAGGUGGAGCUAAUCUCAUAAACCCGAUCGUAGUCCGGAUUGCAGGCUGCAACUCGCCUGCAUGAAGUCGGAAUCGCUAGUAAUCGCGGAUCAGCAUGUCGCGGUGAAUACGUUCCCGGGUCUUGUACACACCGCCCGUCACACCAUGGGAGUGGGUUUUACCAGAAGUAGUUAGCCUAACCGCAAGGGGGGCGAUUACCACGGUAGGAUUCAUGACUGGGGUG